CAGUCCCGCGGUAAUACAGAGGGUGCAAGCGUUAAUCGGAAUUACUGGGCGUAAAGCGCGCGUAGGUGGUUUGUUAAGUUGGAUGUGAAAGCCCCGGGCUCAACCUGGGAACUGCAUCCAAAACUGGCAAGCUAGAGUACGGUAGAGGGUGGUGGAAUUUCCUGUGUAGCGGUGAAAUGCGUAGAUAUAGGAAGGAACACCAGUGGCGAAGGCGACCACCUGGACUGAUACUGACACUGAGGUGCGAAAGCGUGGGGAGCAAACAGGAUUAGAUACCCCUGUAGUCCCUGUCUCUUAUACA
rnacentral:rRNA from 1 species